UCAUCAUCGCUGAGCUCUGGGAACAGUAAACAAAACCACCGACCAACCGAGACAACUCGAACGAUCGAGGAAGAGAGGGAGGAAAAAAAACACACACACUUUGGAUUGAUCUCUCCAGCCAUAGCAAUCAUUUUGUCCCCGCUCAAGUGUGCGUGUGUGACACCACACUCAUUUAUCCACAAAUAUUGCAGUGUAAUGUGGCUUUAAAUUUGGUGGGAGCAUCACGUUUAAAUAAGGACUGUGAUUUUUAAGCUGUUUUUUUUUUUUAAAGCCAGUAUUAAGAGUGGAGACUGAUGGUCAGAAAGCACUCGUGAGUGGGUUAGCCAGAAUGAUGAUCAAACCCAGAAAUAAUUUUUUCUUUCAAACGAGACGACACACUACAAUGCAAAAGCAAUUUAUUAUCUUUUAAGUGCCUCUCCUUGACUACACGUGGAAUGAAUUAACGGCUGCAUAAAUGUAUUCGAAUAUUUAUAAAUAUAUAGAAGCUAUAGAAGGAAAAUAAUAGUUAUUCCAACCCCCCUCCCUCCCAUUUACCCCGACCAAACUCUGCUACAGCUGCUCAAAACCUGGCUUCAUAAUCGGGCUUGGCUGUUACUGAAACCAAUCUCCAUGUGAUUUUGACCCCCUUCCCCAUAAUCUAUGGAGGGGAGAAUGAGAAUGAGCUUCAUCCCCCAAACCAUGGUGUCUAGGGGCAGUGCCCAGUGGAGGGAAGAAUGAGAUUCAGCCCCCCUUCUCAGAGAGGUCGCUCACAAUCUUAGAUACCCCCACCCCUCCUCCCACCUCCCACCUCCACCAGCCUGCGGUCCCCAUCUCAAUGUCAUCUCUGACCCCCUCGGUCACUCGAGGCCGGUGACCCUGUGGGGAGAAGGCAGGAGAGCGCGGUUGAGAGGGAGAGGCAGAUGGGCCGCGAUUGAAUGGCGGUGGGGACUUGAUGGGCCGAACGGCCUCAUUCUGCUCCUAGAACUGACGGACAGUGAGUCGAGGCUCCCACAGCUCAUAGAUAGCUCGAGUGGUAGCGUUGAUCUCAGCUCUCCCCCCCCCUUCCCCCCUCCACUCAUCACCCAUCACCCUCCCCCCUCCCUCUGGCCAUCCGCCCAUGCGGUGGUGGUGGGGUUAGGGGGUGGGUUGCGAGGGGGGGGGGGGGGGUUGAGGACGGUUAGGGUGGGCUUUACGGAGACCUGAGUCUCAGGACGGGGGGUCCACCAGAACUCACAAGAUGGCGGGAUGAACUCAGGCAGGCCACCCCGACCUCUCGGCGUUGCCCAACCAAAUAUCUUGUCCUUAAGGUGUAAGUGAUAGUUCCACCAAAUGCCAAGCCUGUUCUAGUGACUCCACAGGGUGACUACACACUAACGUCUGGAGAGAUGCUCACCUCCACUGCACUGUACCAUUGUGGCCUUGACCACGGACCCCUCCACUGCCCCCUGCUGUCUCGCACACUGAAUUACAACCGGCCAAAGGUCGCUGUGGCGUGCGACUGGGUUUACAAGAUGCAUGAUUGCCUUUGUUCUCCACGGGGGGCAACACGCCUCUCCCCCUCUACCUGGCCCUGACCGCAGCUCUCCCCAGGCUCACGUGUACUCAAUCCGGCACUCAUUCCCACACACACCAUUGCUCCUCCGCCUCUCCACACUUGCACACUCCCCCUCACCCACUCCUUCCUCCCAGUGUCCUGCCUCCCACAAUACCCAUCUUCCCACUCCCUCCCUGGUCCCUUUACACCCUCCAUCUUCAGACACCAUCAAUGAAUGAAAGCUCAUUAAAGUGGGGGUCAAGUCAGAGAUUGAUAGAUUCUUGAUUAGUACGGGUGUCAGGGGUUAUGGGGAGAAGGCAGGGGAAUGGGGUUAGGAGGGAGAGAUAGAUCAGCCAUGAGUGAAUGGCGGAGUAGACUCGAUGGGCCGAAUGGCCUUAUCCUGCCCCUAUCACUUGUGAAGUUACCGUCAGAUUAUCCUUGUUUGGGAGAAGACCUCUCCAGCUCGUGGGUUUUCGGGACCAACUCUCUCACGGUUAUUCAUGGGGUUAGAGAGUGGGAAACAGUUCAAAACCAGCAAACACAAUGCCAGGAAUCUCGACAGGAGUGUGCCUUAGACAAGGGGUUCCUAGAUGUUACAGUCUAGCAUUAACUGUACGGUGGUCAACACCAGGAAAGGCAGGCUGCGGCCUAGCGAGGGACAAAGCCUUAACCUCGAUAACCCGACUUCAAACCUAUCCGGCCUUAACCCUGUGAGUGAAACCACUGUUGUUGACAAUCAUUUCACGACCCAACAACUCAUAGACCGACCGUAAGACUGUAAGACACACAGAGGCAGAGUUCGGCCAUUCGGCCCAUCUCCGCCAUUCGAUCCUGGCCGAUCUGUUCUUCCCUCACAACCAAUAUUCUCCCCGUAACCUGUGACGUCCAACCAGACCCGGGCCACGACCCAAAAAACGUCACCCCCUUCCUUCUCUCCAGAGAUGCCGCCCGUCCCGCUGAGUUACCCCAGCAUUUUCUUGUGUACAUCUUCAGUUUAAACCAGCGCGUGCAGUUCCUUCCGACACAUGACAUGAAAAUCCAUUGGCCACCAGAGUGUAAUUCAGUGAAGCGAGCGGUAUUGAGGUGUUUUGGAGGGGCUUGGCAUAGGGGAAGGGGUUGACAACACUGGGUGUUCCGGGGCUGGCAAGGUGAUACAGAUAGUUCCUCAGAUGAGCAUCUCUCUCCAGUUAAAAACACACACAAAACUAAAGCAAUUCUAGGCUUAACACUGCAUCCGAGCUAUAAAAGCUUUGUAUAAGACACAAGGAUCUUCACUGUUAAGAAUUUUCUCCUGCUUGCAAUCUGGGUAGUGAUAGUUUUGGCUUUGCUUUCUGGUUUAUUGCUUAAGAAAAAACGAAAAAAAAAAAAAAAAAAACCUGGUUAAAUAAUUCUUGCAGAUUUUUAACAAACGCAUAGACAGGCUGUUUUGCAGGCCGCGCCAGGCCUGUUAUUUCUGGAUCAUAUUAAGCAGUGCAACAGUUUGUGGUAAACUCUUACAGAGACAGUGUCCCCUUUAGUUUCCUUUCUUUCCCUUUGACAGGCAAGCCGCUGCCUUAAGAGCUCCGUUAAGAAGUAUUCGAGAUUUAACGGGGUUUCCCCGCAUCUUUAUCUCUCUCCCCCCUUCAUCUAGUCCCCCCCCUCACCCCUGGCACACGCCCACUUUGCCCGGGCUGCUUGCAAGCCCAAGGUGGUUGAGAUCUUGAGAUGGGUCGGGAGGUAGAACCUAAUCGAGGGCCCAUUUUCCUGGGCACAAUCCUGUCUCUUACCCCCACCCCCCCCCCCCUCUCCACCCUUCCCUCUCUUCCCGCCCCACGAGGCAGGGUGGACAACUCCCGCCAACCGCCAUCGACCCGUGCGCUAAAUAACAGGGCAGCACCUCCCUUGUGAAGGGUUUGACACAGGUGCCGCCUUGAAGGCCUUGAACGACAGAUGACCAUGGCGCAGGGACUGGCCCUUCGGCCCAUCAUGCCUGUGCUGGGCAGUUGGGGUUGGAAAGGAGGGGAUGCGAGUGGAGGGCUUUGUGUGCGUUCCACGAUGCCGCAAGCCAGGGGUCUCGGCCUCUGUAGGGAAGACCACCUCUGUGUCCAACGCCAUGUGCCAGCGGGCACCCCUGCCAGCUUACCACCCCCCCAGGCACACUCUGGGUGAAGGGGCAUCUCCAGUAUCCACUCCCCGCCCCGCCUGAUACAGGCAUCCACCACCUUGUCCAGCAAGCUUUGACGAGACUGCCGAUGGGACGUGGUGGGCAGUUCAGCUCGGGAUACCAUGUGCAAAGACAGACGAAAGGGAUAAUGUCUCUCCAUUAAAACAUAGCUCAAAGACUGUAACGCCGACUGAGAGAUGAGCCCAGGUUUGGCUCAGUGAGUGACCCCACACUCACCCACUGCAGGGCACAAGUGACUCAAUCACACUGCACCCCGUCAGGAGCAACUUGGAGAAUGUUACUUAGCUCUUUUUCUUUCAAUAAACAGUUUUCUGUCCAAACCAACAUCUCCUGUAUCCCAGGGGUGAGAGGAGAGGCCACUAGGUGGGUUCAUUUUGGGAAGUCCCAACAUGUUUGGUUCCUAAUGAACACCCUCUAACAUGCAGUCUCCCUUGGUUUGUGUGCAGGGCAUUUUCCUACAACUGGCUGCUCGAAGAGGCAAUGACUGGCCCACAGAGACCAUGGCUAAUCCUGGGAGUCCAUAGCUAUCCCAGAGUGACCAUAGCUAGCCCGGAGAGGCCAUAGCUAGCCCAGAGUGACUAUAGCUAGCCCGGGAAAACAUAGCUAGCCCAGAGUGACUAUAGCUAGCCCAGAGUGACCAUAGCCCUGUAACCAUAGCUAGCCCGGAGAGGCCAUAGCUAGCCCGGAGUGAUCAUAGCUAGCCCGGGAAAACAUAGCUAGCCCAGAGUGACCAUGGCUAGCCCUGAGAGACCAUGGCUAGACCAGAAUGGCCAUAGGUAACCCAGAGAGUUAGUGGUCAGAUACAAGAGACCAUGCCUAGCUCACAGAGAAUGGCCAUCUCAGAAAGACCAUAUCUAGCCCCGAGAGUCCAUGGCUAACUCAGGAAAACCACGGCUUGCUCAGAGAGACCAUGACUAGCCCAGAGACCAUGGCUAGCCCAGAGACCAUGGCUAGCCCAGAGACCAUGGCUAGCCCAGAGACCAUGGCUAGCCCAAAGACCAUGGCUAGUCCAGAGACCAUGGCUAGCCCAGAGACCAUGGCUAUCCCAGGGAGACUGCACCUCUCUCGGAGAAACAGAGACUAACUUGGAACCACCUUCAUUCUGAACAUAGGCACUGGAAGGGUAACUGGUCCCAGGUGGCUGGUAUGGGAUGGCGGCAGGUAGCACCCUGGCUGUUUGUGAGGGUCAGUGUGGCAAUCUACGCUGUAAGUUGUCUCCAGUGUGUAGGAUAGUGCUAGCGUACGGGGUGCUCGCUGGUUGGCGCGGACUUGCUUUGCCGAAGGGCCUAUUUCUGUGUUCCAUCUCCAAAGUGUAAAGGCUAACGAUAAACCCUUGCUUGGGUAACAAUCUCCAAGACCACCCUGGGGUUAACUGUGUGGGCCCACGAUGUCGAUACAUCUUCGAUAGGUUUCUCAGUCGUUCUUACAGUCUUUGCCUCAUACUAAAUCUGCUACUUUUUCCAUUGCAAUCUCUCACACACAAAAAGAAAACGAAAAAAAAAAACAGCUGCUUAAAGAGGAAUAAUAUCUGGUAAUAGCAAACUUUUCCUGACACAGUAGAUACACAAAAGAGGGGAUGAUGUGUAAUCCGUGAGGAAAACCUAAUGGGCAAACCUACAUAACCCAAUUAUCCAUCCACAAGGAAUCUCAGAACAGAGGAUAUCCCAAGAUUAGGAUGGCCUACUCCUGCACCUAAUUUCUAUGUUUCUAUGUUAUGGGUCCCAAUGACCCAAGUCUGGCUUCACUCCAAGGUUAGUGUAAAGAUGAGAUUUGGCUUUCAAUUGGAUGAAGCAAACUCAAACACAGCGUUAGGAGAAAGAUUCCGUGAACCAGGGUGCAGUUAGCAUUGAGGUAUCGACAAAGAUAACUUCAGCAGAAGAGGGCAACAAAAUAAACAUGUCCACUCUGGGAUAAAAAUGGUUGCCCAUCAGUUUCCCAUUUACACACAGCUCUUUAUGCCCACACCCCAUUCACACAGCAACCAGCUAAACCCUCUGCGACCACAUUAGGAUAAUCGUGCAACCUUUUCUCCUGCUAAAUCAAAUAAAAACCCACAAAAAGCAAUCUAAAAAAAAAGGAAACUUAUGAAG